UAACGCGUGGGCAACCUGCCUUACACAGGGGGAUAACAGUUAGAAAUGACUGCUAAUACCGCAUAAGACCACAUUGCCGCAUGGCAGGGUGGUAAAAACUCCGGUGGUGUAAGAUGGGCCCGCGUCUGAUUAGGUAGUUGGCAGGGUAGAGGCCUACCAAGCCUACGAUCAGUAGUCGGCCUGAGAGGGUGGACGGCCACAUUGGGACUGAGACACGGCCCAAACUCCUACGGGAGGCAGCAGUGGGGAAUAUUGCACAAUGGGGGAUACCCUGAUGCAGCGACGCCGCGUGAGUGAGGAAGUAUUUCGGUAUGUAAAGCUCUAUCAGCAGGGAAGAAAAUGACGGUACCUGACUAAGAAGCCCCGGCUAACUACGUGCCAGCAGCCGCGGUACUACGUAGGGGGCAAGCGUUAUCCGGAUUUACUGGGUGUAAAGGGAGCGUAGACGGAGGAGCAAGUCUGAUGUGAAAAUCCGGGGCCCAACCCCGGAACUGCAUUGGAAACUGUUUAUCUAGAGUGUCGGAGAGGCAAGUGGAAUUCCUAGUGUAGCGGUGAAAUGCGUAGAUAUUAGGAGGAACACCAGUGGCGAAGGCGGCUUGCUGGACGAUGACUGACGUUGAGGCUCGAAAGCGUGGGGAGCAAACAGGAUUAGAUACCCUGGGUAGUCCACGCCGUAAACGAUGACUACUAGGUGU
rnacentral:rRNA from 1 species